rnacentral:rRNA from 1 species
AUUGAACGCUGGCGGCAUGCCUUACACAUGCAAGUCGAACGGCAGCACGGGAGCUUGCUCCUGGUGGCGAGUGGCGAACGGGUGAGUAAUACAUCGGAACGUACCCUGAAGUGGGGGAUAACGUAGCGAAAGUUACGCUAAUACCGCAUAUUCUGUGAGCAGGAAAGAGGGGGAUCGCAAGACCUCUUGCUUUAGGAGCGGCCGAUGUCGGAUUAGCUAGUUGGUGAGGUAAAGGCUCACCAAGGCGACGAUCCGUAGCGGGUCUGAGAGGAUGAUCCGCCACACUGGGACUGAGACACGGCCCAGACUCCUACGGGAGGCAGCAGUGGGGAAUUUUGGACAAUGGGCGCAAGCCUGAUCCAGCCAUGCCGCGUGUGUGAAGAA